rnacentral:rRNA from 1 species
UAUGAACGCUAGCUACAGGCUUAACACAUGCAAGUCGAGGGGAAACGACAUCGAAAGCUUGCUUUUGAUGGGCGUCGACCGGCGCACGGGUGAGUAACGCGUAUCCAACCUGCCCAUCACUUGGGAAUAACCUUGCGAAAGUAAGACUAAUACCCAAUGAUAUCCCACGAAGGCAUCGGAAUGGGAUUAAAGAUUUAUCGGUGAUGGAUGGGGAUGCGUCUGAUUAGCUUGUUGGCGGGGUAACGGCCCACCAAGGCAACGAUCAGUAGGGGUUCUGAGAGGAAGGUCCCCCACAUUGGAACUGAGACACGGUCCAAACUCCUACGGGAGGCAGCAGUGAGGAAUAUUGGUCAAUGGGCGAGAGCCUGAACCAGCCAAGUAGCGUGCAGGAAGGCGGCCCUAUGGGUUGUAAACUGCUUUUAUAAGGGAAUAAAGUGGGUCACGUGUGACUUUUUGCAUGUACCUUAUGAAUAAGGACCGGCUAAUUCCGUG